AGCUGCAGAGUAUUGUUCUAAUACCUCCUCCGACCCCACAGCAAGGGCUUGAGGAAUCUUUCUUUACCCAGACAGGGAGGAACUGAGAGAAGAGCAUCAGGGGAGAGUGAAGACUUCCAGGAUGUUCUUCUUCU